UACGUAGGGUGCGAGCGUUAAUCGGAAUUACUGGGCGUAAAGCGUGCGCAGGCGGUUUUGUAAGCCAGAUGUGAAAUCCCCGGGCUUAACCUGGGAAUGGCAUUUGGGACUGCAAGGCUGGAGUACGGCAGAGGAGACUGGAAUUCCUGGUGUAGCAGUGAAAUCGUAGAGAUCAGGAGGAAUACCGAUGGCGAAGGCAGGUCUCUGGGCUGAUACUG
rnacentral:rRNA from 1 species